UACGAAGGGGGCUAGCGUUGCUCGGAAUCACUGGGCGUAAAGGGUGCGUAGGCGGGUCUUUAAGUCAGGGGUGAAAUCCUGGAGCUCAACUCCAGAACUGCCUUUGAUACUGAAGAUCUUGAGUUCGGGAGAGGUGAGUGGAACUGCGAGUGUAGAGGUGAAAAUUCGUAGAUAUUCGCAAGAACACCAGUGGCGAAGGCGGCUCACUGGCCCGAUACUGACGCUGAUGACACGAAAGCUGGGGGAGCAAACAGG
rnacentral:rRNA from 1 species